rnacentral:lncRNA from 1 species
CCAAAAAUUACAUAUCAUAAGCGAAGCGGAAACUAGUUAACUUACACAUACAUCCAUUCAAGUCCGAACGUUCAUACAAACCCUAAGUACAGCUAUUACACAAGAGGCAAUCCAAAAUUCAAACUGUACAAGAGAAAUCUAUCCAUUCCAAUUCAAACAGUCACCCUAGCCCAACUAAACAAAAUGAAUCCAAAUCUAAACUAUACAAGAUACAUGCCAUCCAGUCACACAAAUAACAUAAUACAAGCUCUUCGUUUGCCUCGUUCCCUAUGGAGGGGAAAAUAAAACAUUUGGAGUGAGCUAGAAGCUCAGCGAGUGAACAGUGAAAUCAAUAAUCAAAUAAGCUUUACAAUAGUGCAUUUAAAUGAUAUCAGGAAUUAGUGAUCAAAUGUGCGUAUAUUGCUCUUUGGAGCCAGUGAAAUUCUUGUACUUAAAUAUCCAACGUUCCCUUAGAUCAAGUAACAGAUAAACAGAAAUAAGGAGCCAUCGUGCUCCAAAGAAUGUGUAAUCAGUAGUGGAGAUGUUGGUUCUAAGCACAAGAUUUUCCCAAGAACUCAUCGGAGCCAAAAUAUCAUGGCACACACACAUACACAAUGAUAUGCAAUCGUGUAAUCAAUGCAAGAAUUAUUUCAAAAGUAUCUUUUGGAAAGUAGUGGAGGGAUCACUCACCCAAACACAGCUCAGGAACCAUCCAUCGUACCUCAUUGCCUUGCACAAGUCGAAGUCCUAAAUUACAAAUAUCAAGUCAAGCGGAGGAAUUCUAACAUUAUCAAGCUUCUAUUACCUUAGCAUUUUAAUCACAAUUGAAGCUACACUUAUCCGAUUGAAACAAAUCUUAUGGCGUUACGAAGCUAAGACAUAUACCAACAUUCCUUAUGAAGACUUCCAAAGUCAAAACGUACAAUUUUAUGGUCAAAUAUCGAAAUCUCGGAGAGGGCAGAAAACUGUCUGCAAAACAGAGUCUAUGGCCAGUCAGGGGUAGUUCAGUCAUUUCUCGGGCUACAGUGGUCCAAACGAUCUGAAAUUUUGCAGGUAGAUAGCUAACUCAUAUAUGCACAACUUUCAUGUUUUGAGCAAAAGCUGGUUCGGUCUAGAGCACAGAGAAAACGGCAGUCCAAAUUCAGUCCAGAAACAGGGAAAAACUGAAAUCACCCUUCUUGAACCAACCUUUGCAUAUAACCAUCACUAAUCACAAUUAAGGCUAAAAAUCCCCACUUAACAUGAGACUAGCCUAUACUAAUCAUGUACAUGCCAAAACAAGGAUGAAUUAACUUAGACCAAGUUGAGAAAUAUCACUAAUAUGGAACCUUAGCAGCCCAUCUUCCAAUUCAUAAGAAUUUCCAUAAAAUUCAUCAAGAUCAACUCAAACUCAUAACAAUCAAAGUUUGGACAGCACUUCUCCCUUAAUUUUCCUUAUUCCAUUGUAUAAUACAUCACCCAUGACAUUUCAAUCAAUCACAAUUAUACAUGUAACUCACAAGCCAUUAACUACAUCUAAUUAGGGUCUCCAUACCCUUCAUAUAUAGUCACAUAAAAGCUCAACAACCAACCAUAAUAAAAACCCCCAAUUCAAAACCCUAAAAUCGAAAUUUAUUCCCACAAGCGUAAAUUUUCCGUAGACGAUCGUAAUUAACGCACAAAGGCUCCAUUUCACAACAUAUUAAACUACCAUUCCAUGACUAACCAACAAUAACCAAAUAAAAUCAGAAAAUUCCCCAAUAAAUCAGAAAUUGGUCCAAUUCUACUUAAAAUCAGGAAAUCAUCCACAAAUAGCAUAUAUAACAUCCCUAAUCCACCUUAACGCUAAGAUAACUUCUACUAAUCAGACACAUACCAAAUCAAGGAUGAAAUAACUUAAAUAAAAUCUAGAAAUUAGCAAAUGUCAUCAUCUCACUUCUAAAUCACAAAAAUAACAAUAACUCAUCAAGAUCAAUAGCUUAAUCACAAGAUUUAUAGCAAAAAGAAGGCCUCUAAGGAUGAUACCUUUCAACACCUUGAACAAGCAAAAACAAACCCUUUUUCUUCCCAAAACUUUCCACCCUUAGCUUGCUAUCACCUUGCAUGUGAAGUUAAUCGGAGUAGAUUAUCGAAAUUAGAAGAAACCCCUCAAGAUUGAUGAAGGAAAUCAAAGGAAGAGAAAAGGAUUUUCUCUCUUGUUUUUGCUCCCCAAGAGGCUCGGUCAAUUGGAAAUGAAGAAAAAUGGGUUUUGAACCCCUCAAAUAUAGCCAAAAGUGAAGACUUAAUCGCUAAGAAAAGCUGACCACGACAGAAUCUGGCCGGAUUUCCGGCCGGAUUCCUGGCAGGAUUCAGGCCAGAGACGAAAGCCCCUUUUUUUUCAAAAUGCACAACCAAUCCAGCCGGCAAUCCGGCCAAGAACUGGCCGGAUUUGCGGCCGGAUUUGGUCCUGCCAAGUUCCAUCAAAUUUUCCUCGUUUCAUUUCC